GAAAUGCGAUAAGUAGUGUGAAUUGCAGAAUUCAGUGAAUCAUCGAAUCUUUGAACGCACAUUGCGCCCCUUGGUAUUCCAUGGGGCAUGCCUGUUCGAGCGUCAUUUGUACCCUCAAGCUCUGCUUGGUGUUGGGUGUUUGUCCCCGUCUCCGCGCGUGGACUCGCCCCAAAGUGAUUGGCAGCCGGCGUACUGGUCCCGGAGCGCAGCACAUGUCGCGCAAACAAGUGCCUUGGUACGGCGGCGUCCAUAAGCCCCUCUCUCACGCUCUUGACCUCGGAUCAGGUAGGGAUACCCGCUGAACUUAAGC
rnacentral:misc_RNA from 1 species